CCCGCCGCGGGUCGCGGGCCUCCGCCCGUGCGCCGGCUCUCAGGCUGCAGCCCGCAGUCUGCUUGCGCGGUUAAACUGCGCAGGUGGAGGUUGGCUUCACACUUCUGAUGGAAACUGUUUAAGGCCUUUAACCGUGGGUGCGCCCCUCCUAAGCAGAGGCCGGGGGUCGCGGGCGUGAGCUGAGGGGUAGAAUCACCAGCCGCGAACCCCAUCCCCGGCUAACUGCCGUCCUUGGAUCCGUACGUGGGCAGAGCGGGCAGUGAGCACGGGGCGUUUGGGGUGUGUCCAGCUGCUUUCCCUCGCUGGCACUCUCAGGCGCCCGGGGCCAGCGCACUAAAGUCCAGCUACCGGAGGGAAGGUCGGGAGACCCGGCUGCGUGGACCAGGAACGCUUCCGACGGGAAGAGCUGGGGCAUCCUCCCGGCGUUCCCGCCAAGCAGGUCUGCAGCCCAGGGCAGCACGGUCAGCGAACAGAGCGCGUGUUCUCAACAUUAAACCUGGGGAUGGUGUCACAGCCUGGUGGAGCGAAUCAUCACCGCCCGAUGGGGCAGCAGAGGAGGACAUGCUGUCGUCUGCCUGCCUUUUGCUCUAGAUCCACUGGCUUUGCUGCCCUGCCCUGCCCUGCUCUGUGUGGGAGAGAACGCUGGCCUCCUGCAGGGUUCCACCAGAGGAACCCAGCCAUGGAAACCUGGGGGGAAGAAGAGACCCGCUCAUAGCACACUGUCUUUGUGAGGCUGAGAUGUUUUCUCCCGGGCAGCAUCUUACUGUCAGCCUAUUCUUCGUGGCAUGGAGACUGCUCCAACAGAAGCUUCCAGAAUGUCACUAUGGUGACUAACAGCUCUUCGCAUUGUCUUCCCUGCCCUGUGAGCAGUAGGGGCUUUGCCUGCUCAUCUCACCAGCCCCAGCCCCCUGCCUCUGUCACCCUCCUAACCAGUUCUGUUUAAUCCCUGUGUGGUUUCUGCUUUGGACUGAUAACCCAGCACAGUCCUUAGUAGUAGGAGUGACUCUGAGCAUUCACAGGCCUUAAGAGGGCAUUCCAGGACUGGAUUGCUCACAAGUCUAAGCUCCAGUGUGUUGACACGAAAUCAAUGACACGUGGGUAAUCAAUGACAAGGAGUGUCAAAGUGGUUUAUAUUAUUUUGUGUGGCUGCUGGUUGAUAGGAAGACCUUGAAAAAUUAAGUAGCUGCUCCAGCCAGGUAUUUAUGUAGCAGCACGACUACAAAGACUGAGUUGGGACAGACAGUACAGGAGUGCAUUCCGGUCUUAGUCUUUGCAUUUCUAACCCCAGGUACAAUCACAGAGCCAGGGAGCUCCCAUAGCAGCUCUAAUAGGAUCUCUCAUUUUUGCACCUGCAAAGUAGUCAGAACUGAGGAACAGACCCAAACCUACCUGGCAGUAGGGUAGGAAGCAGGCUGAGCACAGUCCUGCCACAUCUCAUAUUAAGGUAGGUCAUUAAUUGAAAAAUGGGGGCUGGGCAUAUAGCUCAGAUGGUAAGAGUGCUUGCCUCGAAUGCACAAAGCCCUGGGUUCAAUCCCCAGCGCCACCACCAAAAAAAAAAAAAGAGUUCUUGAUUAAUUGAAAAGUGGGGCCCUGAGGAUUAAUUUAGACAUUGGCUAAAACAUGAAAUCCAGAAUACUCAUCUUCAGUGGUCUGCUCAGCCCCUUUACAGAGACAGACCUGCCUUUCUCUGACGUCCAGGAACAACCAGCAUGGCUAUUCUCAUCAUAAGUAAGUUAAAAUGAAAUUUCAAAGAAAGAAAGGAUAGGCAGACAAAAAUCACAGAAGAGGAGCAGAAAACCAAUUUUUAAAUGGUAUUUAAAUCCAACCAUACUAAUAACUACAGCAAAAAUCAUGGAAUGAAGCAUCCAAUUAAAAUCAGAGACCGGCUGGGCAUGGUGCACCUGUAAUCCCAGCAACUCAGAAGGCUGAGGAAGUGUGAUAGUAGGAGCAAAUGUGACUCCAUUUUGUUUUAUGACUUCAUCCUGUAAAACUACCAUGCCAAGUAGAAGAGUCAUGACUGGAGCAAGAUGUUCUUUUCCUUUUGCUAUAGAAACCUUUAAGAACACGGAACUACCUAAUGGGGUAUUGUUUCUGUAACUAGGGUAACGGGGCUCUGUUUCUGUAACUGGGGUGACUGGGCUAACUGUGAUUGGUUAGGCUUCCCUCCGCUUGACUGCACUGUCCCGCUUCUGUAACCUGGCUUGCUUGCAUUGGCUAGACCCCCUGAACAUCCCUUUUGCAGUUUUCAGGCUUAUAAGGAGUGCCCUUGCAAUUGUUCAGGGCUGAUCAGGGGAACAGCUUUAUGUUCUGGUCAGCCGCCACCGGUGUGCUUCAAUAAAGGCUUGAUUCGAUUAUACGUGAGUGGUCUGGAAGUCAGUUCAUGAAACCCUGGGACAAAGCUUUAACUAUAACAUUUGGGGGCUCCUCCAUGAUCCAUUUCUUCCCUACCCUCACGCCAAAUUUGCCUCCAAUGACAGGCCUUUGGACCUCGGCCCCGGAGUAGAGGGGAGCUCCUGAGAGACAUUCCUCAGCCUCACUCCGAGGACGACUCCAAUCUGUCCUAGGACGCUCUGAAAAGCCUCCUGCCGGCUGUCAGUUCUGGUGAGUCGACUCUUCUCUGGGGAAAAAGGUCAGAUUGGACGCAGUCGCUUACACCUUCCCCGGGACAGGACGAGACGUUGUCACUGUCUCCCUGGAGGUCUCCCUGUGAGACCUCAUCUGUCUGUAUCUGGGGCCCACUGGAGGCCUCCCUGGGAGGCCUCAUCUGUCUGGGGACAGGAUGAGACGUCGUCUCUGUCCCACUGGAGGCCUCCCUGUGAGGCCUCAUCUGUCUGGGGGCGAGACGAGACGUGGUCUCUGCCCCAUUAGAGGUUUCCCUGUGCGACCUCAGGGAUUGUUGCUUGUCCAGUGUCUGUUCUGCUGUUUAUCAUUUCUCCAGUGUCUUCUGCUGUUGGUCAUUUGUCCAGUGUCAGUUCACCAGCCAUUUGUUCUGUUUGUGGGGUCUCUGCCCCAUUAGAGGUCUCCCUGUGUGACCUCAGCGAUUGUUGCUUGUCCUGUGUCUGUUCUGCUGUUUGUCGUUUCUCCAGCAUCUUCUUGCUGUUUGUCAUCUGUCCUGUGUCUGUCCGCUGGCCGUUUGUCUUAUGUUUAAUCUGUCUGAGUGUUGUGUGCGGGCCCUUUUCUUGUUCCCAUAACCGCUCUUCUUUCAUCAGGACUCCUUCGCUCCACCGACAUCAGAGACAAGGAAGCGCUACAGAGAUCUCUACCUGGACCCCUUUAACUUGCUUUCUUAACAAUUCUCAGGACUUUGUCUGUUGGUUUGUUUUUGUUUGUUUCCUUUGCGUUCUGUGUUAAUUUCUACCUCAGUUUGUUUCUAAUGGAAAAAAAUGGUUAAAACGGUUUUAACUGUGCUCACUACAGCUUGCAUUAAAAUGUAAAGUGCUGUCAACAGGACUAAAAGAAUUGUCAAAAGUAAAAGCUAAAGGUAAAAAGAAAAAGGCAUUCUAGAGAUUGCCUUCAUUUAGGAGCUGGGCCAGGUGGCCAACUGGGUAAAUCAUGUCACUUCCUAUAGAGGACAGAUUAAAACUAAAGUGUUUUAUAAAAUUAUCAUUCCUAUAUUGUAUAACAAAAAACAUAAUUUUGUCUAGGAAAUUUGGCUUUUGUCUCUCAGUAUUUACAAGCAUGAAUAACUCCCAACUAUUAAAAAAUGGUCUAAAGAUUUUUCAAUGUCAGGCUAAAAGUUGGUGGCCGCUAUCCAAGAAACCAGAAAAACCAGUUUAGAAUGGGACCCCAACCUGGGGGACUCUCCCAAGGAGACCAAUGAAGCUGCGUCUUUGGGAAGUUCCUCCGGGGAAAAAUAAGCCCCCUUCGUUUGUCUAUGUUCCCUUGACUCUUUUCAGCUUUCAUGAACAGGACCACCUCAGGAAAAAGAAGUGCCCACCCCAGGUGAAUUUACAUCCUGUUCUUCCUGAGCCAGAUUUUUACCAUGGACUCCUUGACCCACUCAGUUUCUAAAAAGGGACUCCAAACUGCUUGCCCACUGCACAUCGCCCCCUUUCAGCUGGAAGUAGUAAGAACGGUCAUCGCCCUCUUCCCUUACUGCAGUUGGAGGUCCCUAAUAUUAGAAAAAAAAAUUCCGGUCAACAUAGAUGUUCGCCAAUAUGUCUAGCUCAGGAAGAUGUACCUGGGAAACUACUCCCAAGAUUACACUGGGUGAUCUCCCAGAAAGAGACACUUGCUUCUACAACCCAACUUAUAAGUGGGACAACUCUCCCUGUUCACCAAAAAUUGUGCUUCCCGGGUCCCACUUUGAACCCUUGACUAAAUCUCCAAACUGUCAAUAACUCUGAACUAUGUAACCUACUAUUUUGAUGGAGUAAAAGAAAAAGAACACCUGGACUUAUUAAAAGGCCAGGCCCCACUGAUUUAUCAACAUAGACUGGCUGCCCCCAUUUUAGUUCCCCUCCUGGCUGGCUUUGGAAGUCCCUCAGCUGUCAAAUAGAUAUAGAUUUAGAAAAACUAGAAAGGUCAAUCUCCAAACUAAAGGUUUCACAAGUUCUACAGAAAUAGUCUUACAAAACAGAUGAGGUCUAGAUGGUCUCUUUCUGAAACAAGGAGGACUUUGUAUGGCUCCAGGAGAAACUUGUCUCUAUGCAAACCAUUCUGGGAUAAUAAAGAACAGUUUGGCACUUCUGAAAAACAGGUUAAAUGAAAGAGAUGAAACACUAGGAAAUUCAGGCAAUUGGUUCCAAAACCUUUUCUCAUGGUCCCCUUGGUUGACUACCAUCAUUUCAGCCAUAGUUGGGCCCCUAGUCCUUCUCCUGAUUGGUAUUACUGUAGGACCCUGCCUCUUAAAAUCCCUCCUAAACCAUAUACAAAAGAAUGUAGGUGAGGUCAGACUUAUGGUCUUGCGAGCCCAGUUUAGUCCCUUAGACACAGAAGGUUGGAACAAAAACUGAGACCUAAUGAUGUGCAAGAUUGACAUCAAACCUACUCAAACCAGUGGGGAAUGUGAUAGUAGGAGCAAAUGUGACUCCAUUUUGUUUUAUGACUUCAUCCUGUAAAACAACCAUGCCAAGUAGAAGAGUCAUGACUGGAACAAGAUGUUCUUUUCCUUUUGCUAUAGAAACCUUUAAGAACACGGAACUACCUAAUGGGAUAUUGUUUCUGUAACUAGGAUAACGGGGCUCUGUUUCUGUAACUGGGGUGACUGGGCUAACUGUGAUUGGUUAGGCUUCCCUCCGCUUGACUGCACUGUCCCGCUUCUGUAACCUGGCUUGCUUGCAUUGGCUAGACCCCCUGAACAUCCCUUUUGUGGUUUUCAGGCUUAUAAGGAGUGCCCUUGCAAUUGUUCGGGGCUGAUCAGGGGAACAGCUUUAUGUUCUGGUCAGCCGCCACCGGUGUGCUUCAAUAAAGGCUUGAUUCAAUUAUA